GGCGGUUUGUUAAGGUCAGAUGUGAAAUCCCCGGGCUCAACCUGGGAACUGCAUUUGAAACUGGCAAGCUAGAGUCUCGUAGAGGGGGGUAGAAUUCCAGGUGUAGCGGUGAAAUGCGUAGAGAUCUGGAGGAAUACCGGUGGCGAAGGCGGCCCCCUGGACGAAGACUGACGCUCAGGUGCGAAAGCGUGGGGAGCAAACAGGAUUAGAUACCCUGGUAGUCCACGCUGUAAACGAUGUCGAUUUGGAGGUUGUGCCCUUGAGGCGUGGCUUCCGGAGCUAACGCGUUAAAUCGACCGCCUGGGGAGUACGGCCGCAAGGUUAAAACUCAAAUGAAUUAACGGGGGCCCGCACAAGCGGUGGUGCAUGUGGAUUAAUUCGAUGCACGCGAUGUUCCUUACCUACUCUUGACAUCCAGAGAACUUUCCAGAGAUGGUUUGGUGCAUUCGGGAACUCUGUGACAGGUGCUGCAUGACUGUCGUCAGCUCGUGUUGUGAAAUGUUGGGUUAAGUCCCGCAACGUGCGCAACCCUUUCCUUUGUUGACAAGGGUUCGGAGGGAUCUCAAGGGUAUGGAGUGAUAACUGGAGGAGGUGGGGUUGACGUCAGUCUUCUUGGCCCCUUACGAGUGGGGCUACACACGUGCUACAAUGACAUAUACAAGGAGGAAGCGACCCUCGC
rnacentral:rRNA from 1 species